rnacentral:misc_RNA from 1 species
GAUGAAGAACGCAGCGAAAUGCGAUAAGUAAUGUGAAUUGCAGAAUUCAGUGAAUCAUCGAAUCUUUGAACGCACAUUGCGCCCGCUGGUAUUCCGGCGGGCAUGCCUGUUCGAGCGUCAUUUCAACCCUCAAGCUCUCCGGAGUUUGGUGUUGGGGCGCCUGGGGCUUUUCGACCUCAGGGCCCUCAAGUCCAUCGGCGGGACCGCCAGGACACUGAGCGCAGUAGUAUUAUUUCGCUCGGUAGGAACUUCCACGGCGGGUCGAUCUGGCCGCUAAACCCCCCAAUUCUCACCAAAGGUUGACCUCGGAUCAGGUAGGAAUACCCGCUGAACUUAAGCAUAUCAAUAAGCGGAGGA